UACGGGGGGGGUAAGCGUUGUUCGGAAUCAUUGGGCGUAAAGGGCGCGUAGGUGGUUCUGUAUGUCUACCGUGAAAGCAUACAGCUCAACUGUAUUUUGUCGGUAGAAACUGCAGGACUUUGAGGCUGGGAGGGGCUGGUGGAAUUCCCUGUGUAGCGGUGAAAUGCGUAGAGAUGGGGGAGAACACUCGUGGCGAAGGCGGCCAGCUAGACCAGUUCUGACACUGAGGCGCGACAGCGUGGGGGAGCAAACAGG
rnacentral:rRNA from 1 species